UGGAUAGCUCUGUUGGUUAGAGCAUGAUGCUCAUAAUGCCAAGGUUGCUGGUUCGAUUCCCAUAUGGGACAG